rnacentral:lncRNA from 1 species
AGGUGUCCAGGUGAUCUGAAGGAAGGAGUCUUCUUUAGCCAUUCAGAGCUUUCUAUGCAAGCUAGCACUUUCGAGAAGGACGAUCUGUUCGGAGCUUCGAGUGGACGAUCUGUAGAGAUCGGACGAUCUGUGUGGCUGCUCGAUAUUAGAAAAAAUCUCAUACCAUGCCUAUCAGUAUAGUGAUCAUCGACUUGCACAAAGAUAAUG